UACGGAGGGUGCAAGCGUUAAUCGGAAUUACUGGGCGUAAAGCGCACGUAGGUGGUUUUCUAAGUCAGCUGUGAAAUCCCCGGGCUCAACCUGGGACUUGCAGUUGAAACUGGGAAGCUAGAGUAGGGUAGAGGGGUGUGGAAUUCCAGGUGUAGCGGUGAAAUGACGUAGAUAUCUGGAGGAACAUCAGUGGCGAAGGCGGACUCA
rnacentral:rRNA from 1 species